UACGUAGGGCGCAAGCGUUAUCCGGAAUUAUUGGGCGUAAAGAGCUCGUAGGCGGUUUGUCGCGUCUGCCGUGAAAGUCCGGGGCUCAACUCCGGAUCUGCGGUGGGUACGGGCAGACUAGAGUGAUGUAGGGGAGACUGGAAUUCCUGGUGUAGCGGUGAAAUGCGCAGAUAUCAGGAGGAACACCAAUGGCGAAAGCAGGUACCUGGACCAUUACUGACACUCAGCUGCGAAAGCUAGGGGAGCAAACAGG
rnacentral:rRNA from 1 species